GGGUGCGACCAUACCAGCACCAGGGCAUCGGAUCCCAUCAGAACUCCACAGUUAAGCAUGCAUGGGCUAGAAUAGUACUUGGAUGGGUGGCUUCCUGGGAAGUCCUCGUGUUGCACCCC